rnacentral:lncRNA from 1 species
CAUGUGAGAGCCAUUAAACAUUGUAACCAUGGUCUUCUACCUUGACCCAAAGAUAAAGAAAACUAUUUACACGGGAAAGCUCCCUACAAGCAAAAGAAGAAAAAAGAAAAUCUUUUUGGGUUUUCACAAACUAGACCGACACACGAAAAGAAAACGAGAAAAAGAAAAUAAACUAUCAUGGAUGAUACAGUGGCAAAGUGUGAACACCGAGUAACAAAGUGAAAGCAUAAGCAAGAAUGUAAAGUCCGUGAGAAACACGUACUCCCCCAAGCUUAGGCUUUUGGCCUAAGUUGGUCUACUCCCAUGGAUGGUCCGAGCGAUACCCAAAAUCAUAAUGGGGGUUAUACGGGAGCGCCGCAGCCACUGCCUGAAUAGAUGCCUCACGGAGACGACCAGCCUUUGCCUCCCUCUCAUACCCCUCUUCCUCUCCUCUGGUUAUGUAAUAUCUUUGUUUUACCUGAAAGUCAAAGAAGGCAGGAGCAGGAAGGGUAAUAUGGAAAACACGCUGCCCGUUAAAUAUCAAACGGUAUAGGAGGGAUUCAUCAUCCCUCUGAAGGAACUGAUAGUGUGUCAAAGCGGUGCGAUCAAGGAAAGCUGUAUGGAGCAGGGGAUCUCCUUC